AGGCAAUGUUUGGUACUACCAUCAAUAUCAAUGGGAAUGAGAAUAAUAAG
rnacentral:sRNA from 1 species